rnacentral:rRNA from 1 species
GAUGAACGCUGGCGGCGUGCCUAAUACAUGCAAGUCGAGCGAACGGACGAGAAGCUUGCUUCUCUGAUGUUAGCGGCGGACGGGUGAGUACACGUGGAUAACCUACCUAUAAGACUGGGAUAACUUCGGGAAACCGUAGCUAAUACCGGAUAAUAUUUUGAACCGCAUGGUUCAAAAGUGAAAGACGGUCUUGCUGUCACUUAUAGAUGGAUCCGCGCUGCAUUAGCUAGUUGGUAAGGUAACGGCUUACCAAGGCAACGAUGCAUAGCCGACCUGAGAGGGUGAUCGGCCACACUGGAACUGAGACACGGUCCAGACUCCUACGGGAGGCAGCAGUAGGGAAUCUUCCGCAAUGGGCGAAAGCCUGACGGAGCAACGCCGCGUGAGUGAUGAAGGUCUUCGGAUCGUAAAACUCUGUUAUUAGGGAAGAAUAUAUGUGUAAGUAACUGUGCACAUCUUGACGGUACCUAAUCAGAAAGCCACGGCUAACUACGUG